rnacentral:rRNA from 1 species
UACGUAGGGGGCAAGCGUUGUCCGGAUUUAUUGGGCGUAAAGAGCGCGUAGGCGGUCCGAUAAGUCGGCUGUGAAAGCCCAGGGCUCAACCCUGGAAAGCCGGCCGAUACUGUCGGACUAGAGUCCGGAAGAGGCAAGUGGAAUUCCCGGUGUAGCGGUGAAAUGCGCAGAUAUCAGGAGGAACACCGGUGGCGAAGGCGGUUCUCUGGGCCUGUACUGACGCUGAGGAACGAAAGCGUGGGGAGCGAACAGG